UUUAUCGAACCUGUCGAAAUUAUGCUUGGCAGUAGAUUGGAUCAAGCUCUGAAUACAAAAACAGGUCAAUUUGAAACCAAAAUUGUAAAAGAAACAUUUCAGUAUGUUUCGGUCAUAAAAACAAUUGAAAUGGUUUUGUCUAAGUUUGUUUCUUCUGGCUCAUAAAGGUAAGCUGUAAAUGCAUGUGCCUCUAGUGCCAAAGGUCUUUUUAAUGAUAUUUUUGCAAUCAUUAUGUAAUAAACGUGUGUAUUUAUAUAUAUUAGAGAGAGAUGACCUAAAAGCAUUAGUUUUGCUCACAGAACUUUUGCUCAGCUAAAAUUAUUGGAAAGAAAGAGGGGAAAAGGUUUUAUUCAUUAUUAAUGAGUAAAUAUUUGGCAUAAGUCUAUGCAUAAAAAAUAAUUUCAUAUGCUUAGCUAUAAAAUUCUUUUCAUAGGAUAAUAUUUUUAGUUUGCAGUGUAUGUAUAUGUAAAUAAGCUAUUGAUACUAUAUGUAAGUGAGCUGAGCUGCAUAUCCUUUGAAAUUUGCUACAUAUUCUAUCUUGAAAGGUUCAUGUGUGAUAUUUAUAUAGUUUCAAUCAAUUAUUAUAUUUCACAUGCAAUUUUUAUCCAGUAUAUGUCUUUUAUAUAUAUUUUUAUUUUUAUUUUUGUAGGGUAAAGGCAAAGCAAGUAUUUUAGCAUCAGGCUGUUAUUUGAAAAAAAAUUUAAAAAAAUCCAAAUCCUGCACUUCUAAUAUUUGCUAAAUGAAAUAGAAGACAUGGAAUCUCUUGGGCCAGCUCAGAAUAAACAGCCCAUUAUAGUGUGUAUUACAAGUUCAUUCUAUAUUAAAACAGUAAAUCACUUAAUAACAUGCCCAAAUCAUGCCAUGAAGGCAUUUGACAUUCUAUUUAAAACUAAUUUUGUAUUUAGCGUUCAAUAUGCACAUACAUCAACAAAUUUUUAUAAUUUUGUGGCAAGCCUUUUGUAUAAUGUCAGCACUCCUAGAGCUUGUGUGGACUCUUUAAAUACAUGAUUGAGUAUGAAUUUAUUGCAUUCUGUACAUGCAUUACAUUUCAUAUUUUUAAUGUCAUUUUAUUGUCAUAUUUUCCAUUUUUAUAUAUGUAUAUAUAUGUACAUAUAUUUACUAAUAAAGAGUUUUUCAUGCA